rnacentral:rRNA from 1 species
GACGAACGCUGGCGGCGUGCUUAACACAUGCAAGUCGAACGGAAAGGCCCUGCUUGCAGGGUACUCGAGUGGCGAACGGGUGAGUAACACGUGGGUGAUCUGCCCUGCACUUCGGGAUAAGCCUGGGAAACUGGGUCUAAUACCGGAUAGGAGCCAUUUUUAGUGUGAUGGUUGGAAAGUUUUUUCGGUGUAGGAUGAGCUCGCGCCUAUCAGCUUGUUGGUGGGGUAAUGGCCUACCAAGGCGGCGACGGGUAGCCGGCCUGAGAGGGUGGACGGCCACAUUGGGACUGAGAUACGGCCCAGACUCCUACGGGAGGCAGCAGUGGGGAAUAUUGCACAAUGGGCGCAAGCCUGAUGCAGCGACGCCGCGUGGGGGAUGACGGCCUUCGGGUUGUAAACUCCUUUCGCUAGGGACGAAGCUUUUUGUGACGGUACCUAGAUAAGAAGCACCGGCUAACUACGUG